rnacentral:snoRNA from 1 species
UGGAGGACUGAGAAAAUAAGGCAGUUAUAUGUACUGCAUUUAUUGGUUAUACCCUCCAAAAUCAAAACUGUGCAAAAAGCAAGUCAUGUUCCUCUGAUCUGUGUUGGAACACUAUUGCUGGUUGCAUAUA